GACGAACGCUGGCGGCGUGCCUAAUACAUGCAAGUAGAACGCUGAAGAGAGGAGCUUGCUCUUCUUGGAUGAGUUGCGAACGGGUGAGUAACGCGUAGGUAACCUGCCUUGUAGCGGGGGAUAACUAUUGGAAACGAUAGCUAAUACCGCAUAACAAUGGAUGACACAUGUCAUUUAUUUGAAAGGGGCAAUUGCUCCACUACAAGAUGGACCUGCGUUGUAUUAGCUAGUAGGUGAGGUAACGGCUCACCUAGGCGACGAUACAUAGCCGACCUGAGAGGGUGAUCGGCCACACUGGGACUGAGACACGGCCCAGACUCCUACGGGAGGCAGCAGUAGGGAAUCUUCGGCAAUGGGGGCAACCCUGACCGAGCAACGCCGCGUGAGUGAAGAAGGUUUUCGGAUCGUAAAGCUCUGUUGUAAGUCAAGAACGAGUGUGAGAGUGGAAAGUUCACACUGUGACGGUAGCUUACUAGAAAGGGACGGCUAACUACGUGCCAGCAGCCGCGGUAAUACGUAGGUCCCGAGCGUUGUCCGGAUUUAUUGGGCGUAAAGCGAGCGCAGGCGGUUUGAUAAGUCUGAAGUUAAAGGCUGUGGCUCAACCAUAGUUUGCUUUGGAAACUGUCAAACUUGAGUGCAGAAGGGGAGAGUGGAAUUCCAUGUGUAGCGGUGAAAUGCGUAGAUAUAUGGAGGAACACCGGUGGCGAAAGCGGCUCUCUGGUCUGUAACUGACGCUGAGGCUCGAAAGCGUGGGGAGCGAACAGGAUUAGAUACCCUGGUAGUCCACGCCGUAAACGAUGAGUGCUAGGUGUUGGAUCCUUUCCGGGAUUCAGUGCCGCAGCUAACGCAUUAAGCACUCCGCCUGGGGAGUACGACCGCAAGGUUGAAACUCAAAGGAAUUGACGGGGGCCCGCACAAGCGGUGGAGCAUGUGGUUUAAUUCGAAGCAACGCGAAGAACCUUACCAGGUCUUGACAUCCCGAUGCUAUUUCUAGAGAUAGAAAGUUACUUCGGUACAUCGGUGACAGGUGGUGCAUGGUUGUCGUCAGCUCGUGUCGUGAGAUGUUGGGUUAAGUCCCGCAACGAGCGCAACCCCUAUUGUUAGUUGCCAUCAUUCAGUUGGGCACUCUAGCGAGACUGCCGGUAAUAAACCGGAGGAAGGUGGGGAUGACGUCAAAUCAUCAUGCCCCUUAUGACCUGGGCUACACACGUGCUACAAUGGUUGGUACAACGAGUUGCAAGUCGGUGACGGCAAGCUAAUCUCUUAAAGCCAAUCUCAGUUCGGAUUGUAGGCUGCAACUCGCCUACAUGAAGUCGGAAUCGCUAGUAAUCGCGGAUCAGCACGCCGCGGUGAAUACGUUCCCGGGCCU
rnacentral:rRNA from 1 species